CAGCCGCCGCGGUAAUACGUAGGGUGCAAGCGUUAAUCGGAAUUACUGGGCGUAAAGCGUGCGCAGGCGGUUAUAUAAGACAGAUGUGAAAUCCCCGGGCUCAACCUGGGAACUGCAUUUGUGACUGCAAGGCUAGAGUACGGCAGAGGGGGAUGGAAUUCCGCGUGUAGCAGUGAAAUGCGUAGAUAUGCGGAGGAACACCGAUGGCGAAGGCAAUCCCCUGGGCCUGUACUGACGCUCAUGCACGAAAGCGUGGGGAGCAAACAGGAUUAGAUACCCCCGUAGUCCCUGUCUCUUAUAC
rnacentral:rRNA from 1 species